GUGCCACUCGGCCUCCCGUAAACUCGCAGCGGCGCGGCUGACGGUCCACCUCAGGCAUCGCCGCCACAGUGGGCCGGCCGCCAUGUUUGCCAUGGCAAAGGGGGGCGGGGCUGCGUGCGACUCGGAAGCGGAAGUUGGCUUGUCGUCGUCAGAUCUCAAACAUCUGCGGUGGAGAACGAGUUUCCAAUUGGACUUGCGAGCUUCCUGUUCUCUCACCAAGCCCCCAUGCCCAUCCCCAUCCCCAUCCCCAUUUGACGGACCACAGAUGCCACAGCUGCUUUCAAUCUGGACAGGCCACAGAAACAAGGCCUGAUUUUACCAUCUUUCUGACUCGCAGGCGAUCAUGUGAUCAGUUGAAGAGGAAGAACUGAAUUAUUGUCCAGGUGUCCACUCUCCAGAAAUGGAAGCCACAUAUGUAAGUCUCCAUCCAGUCUUAACUGUAAAGUUUUGAGCAAGUCCCAAGUUAGUGUGGCAAAGCUGACUCUAUUAUUGUCUUUUCAAGUAAACGCAUUAGCGACAUUCAGGUUACUUCAUAUUUGACCAGCUAUCGGUGAGCUAAACUGUGACGUUAAAGUGGGACUUUGCAAUUUAAAGAAAAAAAAUAAACAACACUUUUUGAUCAUUUUCUGAAUUAAUAACAUUUCUGCUCAACGGGUUUAUUUAUCACCUCUAUUUGACAAAUGGCAAACUAUCUUGAAAAAAAGCAGAUUUUCAAUGCAGUUAAAGUCAAGUGAAGUCUUUCCUCAGUUUUAGCCAAGCUAAUCCAAAGCCCAGAAAUUGGUAACUUAGAUCUACUGGGAGUCAAGUCAUGUGACUGGAGUCCCCCUCCUCAGCCCCUCUGCACAAUUUUUGACUGCCUUCUAAUUGCGUCCACAUGUCGGGAUGAGUCACGUCUGCAAUUAUGACUCGGAAAAUAAGAGUCGGGAGGAACCGCUGCAUCACCGGUUCGUUGUCAAAAAGAUACAGGUUCUUUGGCCUUGAAAACAUACACACGUGAGAUGUAAAAAACAAUGCGCACAAAGUCAACCUGAAAGUAGAGGAAGCUUAUUUCCAUAUUCCCUUAAUGCUUCGUUCAACAGCACAAAGUAUAAAUAUGAACACUUACAAAAAGGAGGAACUAGAAAGGCUCUCGGUAGAGCGCAGACCUCCGUCAAGGUCAAACAAGACUGAAUUGUUCAUUGAUACACACCUCUUUUAUAUGCAUGAAUUUUUAUAAAAUCCAUGCAAUAUUAACUGCGAAAAUUAAGACAAAUGACGGGGGGAAAAAACAUUGAAUACUUUCUUGACACAGCCCUUAAGUUUUGUUUACUACGUUAACAAACAAAAACAAAACAAUGAAAUGACAAAACCUGUUUUUAAAAUGUUUACUACAUUCCAUGAAUAUAAAUUGUCUUUAUGGCAUUAUUUAAAGCACCUUUUACUUUAUACCACACAAAUACAUUCUGUUUAAUAUGUGCUGGAAUGAAAGUAUACUCAUAUGCUGUCAAGUGGGCGGCCAAGCCACAUGAAGCGAUGGAACGAAAGGUUGUGAUUGGCUUAUGUAGCUGGGUUCAUGUGAUUGAGCUUAGCCCCAGUUUCAAUUCCUGGUUCAACCACCAGAGGUCGCCAAACCAAAUUUAGAUCAUGAGUAUGAGUCGCAGUUCAAGCAUAAGUCUUCUUAAAAUCUUAAUACUAUUAAACCCCGUAUCAUAGUAAACAAACACAUACUGACGUCAACAACUUAUAACCAUUUGUUUGAUUUUAUAUCCUUGAGAUAAUUUUGAUGUUCUCUUUGAUGUUAUAACUGGGAUGUUCUUUUGAGAAUCAUUGAUAAAAAGUACAUCAAGCCUAGUAAGGCUGUUAUACAUUAUUCUUACUUUUGUAUUACUAUGCUUUGGAACAGCUUUUAUGCAAAAACUGUAACCUGUGUAAGAUUGUCUCUCUCAGGCAACGCAGCACAAGAUGUACUACAAAGGACAGAACGAACCUGUUGAAUGCAUGAGAGAAUUGUAUUCACAUGAAUGUAUAUACGUUUAUUUGACAUUUAACAUAUACACAUGUAUUGCAGAUUGCUUAGAGAUUAACAUGGUGUGAUGAAAUGUAUUGGUUGAGUUCAAGACAGGCGGCACGGUGGCCGACUGGUUAGAGCGUCAGCCUCACAGUUCUGAGGUGCGGGGUUCAAUCCCCGUCCCCGCCUGUGUGGAGUUUGCAUGUUCUCCCCGUGCCUGCGUGGGUUUUCUCCGGGCACUCCGGUUUCCUCCCACAUCCCAAAAACAUGCAUUAAUUGGAGACUCUAAAUUGCCCGUAGGCAUGACUGUGAGUGCGAAUGGUUGUUUGUUUCGAUGUGCCCUGCGAUUGGCUGGCAACCAGUUCAGGGUGUACCCCGCCUCCUGCCCGAUGACAGCUGGGAUAGGCUCCAGCACGCCCGCGACCCUAGUGAGGAGAAGCGGCUCAGAAAAUGGAUGGAUGGAUGGAGUUCAAGACAUGAAAUGUGCUUGAAAUUGAAUGUAUUUACUGAGAACCCGCAAGACAUGAAAUGUGCUUGUAGUUGAAUGUAUUUACUAAGAACCUAUUUGGGUGAGCAAAUAAGAGGUCAAGUCAGGAUAACGCUGAAGUGAAAGUGAAAGAUACUACCACUCUGGUCACGUCAGGACACUCUGAAGUGGAAACAGGUGCUUCCCACUCAGGUCAUGUCAGGACACUCUGAAGUGGUGAUAAAAAGUAAUAGCGAGGAGCGCGUGUCAGAAUAUGUAAACAAAGGAUUAUUUUAGAAAAGGGAGUUUCUGAAAACCAAGGUUAUAAAAGCCUCACACGCUGAUAAACGGGGCUCCUUAUUCUCUAGAGGAUAGGGAGACACAGGCUCUUUUCUCUCGCAAUGACAAGGGACAUGCUGGCAGGAGGAAUUCAUCAGGCUACUUGGAAUAGCACUUCAUUUUUGAAUCUUCCUCUUUAAUUGGGUAAGACUAAAAGAAUAUUAUAAUAAGGUAACUAAUAGAACCGCCAUUGACGUUGCGUGGAUAGGGAAGAGAGUUGGUCAGCUGUCCAGGGAUUCUUAUAUUCCAAAUUAUCUUAUUAUUAAUUGGCAUUAUGGCUCCAUAGGACUUGAUCACUCCUUAAAGCUCACUCAAAAGGUAAUACUUGUUUUAUGAUUCAUUACUUUUAAACUACUUCUACUUCUUUUCAUUUUUGUUAUUUUAUUGUUUACUCUAUAUUACAAACCCCUUACUGUCAUAUUAUUAUUUUAACCUUAAGUAAUCAGUGAAAUAAAAACCUUGCCUUAA